UACAGAGGUCUCAAGCGUUGUUCGGAUUCAUUGGGCGUAAAGGGUGUGUAGGUGGCGCCGUAAGUCGGGUGUGAAAUCUCGGGGCUUAACUCCGAAACUGCAUUCGAUACUGCGGUGCUUGAGGACUGGAGAGGAGACUGGAAUUCAUGGUGUAGCAGUGAAAUGCGUAGAGAUCAUGAGGAAGACCAGUGGCGAAGGCGGGUCUCUGGACAGUUCCUGACGCUGAGGCACGAAGGCCAGGGGAGCAAACGGG
rnacentral:rRNA from 1 species